rnacentral:rRNA from 1 species
UACAGAGGGUGCAAGCGUUAAUCGGAAUUACUGGGCGUAAAGCGCACGUAGGAGGUUUUUUAAGUCAGAUGUGAAAGCCCCGGGCUCAACCUGGGAAUUGCAUUUGAAACUGGGAAACUAGAGUGUGUGAGAGGGGGGUAGAAUUCCAAGUGUAGCGGUGAAAUGCGUAGAGAUUUGGAGGAAUACCAGUGGCGAAGGCGGCCCCCUGGCACAACACUGACGCUCAGGUGCGAAAGCGUGGGGAGCAAACAGG